CCCUCUGAUCAUCUUAGUGGCCCUCCUCUGGACCCACUCCAAGAGCUCUACAUCCAUCCUGUACUGGGGGCCCCAGGCCUGGAUGCAAUACUGCAGAUGGGGCCUCACAAGAGCUGAGGAGAGGGGGACAAUCACCUCCCUCUCCCUGCUGAAGUUUCUUACUACUUAUGCACCUUAUGCACUUACUACUUAUGCUUCAUGAUGCUGAACAGAUGUUUAGUUUUCCUAGGAGCCUGUUUUUCCCUUGACAUUGUUUUAAUAACACCUUUCCUUUUCACCGGCCCUAUAGAAAGCCCAGAAUGUUUCUCCUUUCUCAUCUGAUCUCAAUUUCUUUAAUAAAGGUGAUCCAAAGAGUGCUUUUUAGGCAGAGCUGAGCUGGUUGCUUGUAAGAUCCAGGGCUUCAGUGUGGUUCAAACAUGGACCAGAGCUGAGGUACACUUGGUAGUUCUAGCAGGGAGAAACUGCUGUCGGCAGCUGUCACUGCACUUAAUACACUCACUUGGUGCCACGAUAUUAGUCAAAGUAAUUGUAUUUAAUCAAGAUGAUCCCAGUGCAAAAGAGAAAAAGCAAAUUCAAGUGCAGCAAAGCAGUAUCGUAUUGCUGUGGAAGGACUCCAGCACAAGUGCCAAUAGAUUUAUUUUAUUAGGCACUAAAAGCUCGUUUCCUGACGCUGCUGACACAGAACAGAAAGGAUUUUGCCUUAAAGAAUUUAGAACUGGAGGUUAAAGUAAUGGAUAGGUGAGAAUUACUGGACAGAAAUAUUAGAAUCAUGGGUCAUUCAACAACAGUCGCUGUUUCAGUAACUCUGGAGUCUCACCAUUACACCUUCAUUGAGGAAAAUGAAUUUUAAGAAGGCUUCUAUGGAAAUCAACGAAGCAGAGCAGCAACUUGCUAUAGGUUUCCCUUACUAAAGCAGGAAGCAGCUUGAAAGCAAAACAAAUGUUGCACAAAAAUUCAAGUGAAGCAGCAGUGAGUGGUAAUAUGGUCUCUUUUUGUGCUCCCUGGACUUCAGCUCUGACCUGAACUCUGUUAAACUUUCACGUCCAUCUAAGUUACAAAGUGACUUGCUUUGACUUCACCACUCUUCAAAAACAAGUUUCAAGUGCAGAAAAACCCAGAAGCUAAAAGCCAACUCCUUUUUGGCUGAAGACUGGAAAACAGACCUAACCCUGUGAAUGCAACAACUUCUUUGCCUCUAGCAGCUGGAGUUCACCACACAGUUAUUAUUUGCAGCAUCUGAGAGAACAAUUCCUGCUUGCUUCUGUUGUCUGUGGGGAAAAUUCUGCAGAAUAUGAGACAAACGGAGGGUGGCAGCAGCACCUCAAACUCUCAGCAUCGUAUCUAACACCCAGAGCCACAGGCAUUGGCAAUAGAGCUUUAGCGUAGACUUAUAUACAUGGGUUUAAAACCAGAGUGAUCUGUUUGGCUUGUCGAUUGCCUGAUUGUAUUAAUUAUGUUAUUAAUCAUGCAUUUAAUUUACUCUUA
ensembl:lncRNA